AUUGAACGCUGGCGGCAUGCUUUACACAUGCAAGUCGAACGGUAACAGGCCGCAAGGUGCUGACGAGUGGCGAACGGGUGAGUAAUGCAUCGGAACGUGCCCAGUCGUGGGGGAUAACGCAGCGAAAGCUGCGCUAAUACCGCAUACGAUCUAUGGAUGAAAGCGGGGGACCGUAAGGCCUCGCGCGAUUGGAGCGGCCGAUGUCAGAUUAGGUAGUUGGGGGGGUAAAGGCUCACCAAGCCAACGAUCUGUAGCUGGUCUGAGAGGACGACCAGCCACACUGGGACUGAGACACGGCCCAGACUCCUACGGGAGGCAGCAGUGGGGAAUUUUGGACAAUGGGCGCAAGCCUGAUCCAGCAAUGCCGCGUGCAGGAAGAAGGCCUUCGGGUUGUAAACUGCUUUUGUACGGAACGAGACGGUCCUGGUUAAUACCCGGGGCUAAUGACGGUACCGUAAGAAUAAGCACCGGCUAACUACGUGCCAGCCGCCGCAGUAAAAC
rnacentral:rRNA from 1 species